rnacentral:lncRNA from 10 species
GUCCCGCAAGCCAAGCCUCCCGCGAAAGAAGCAUCCGUCAGCCCGGCUCUGCUGUUCUGAACCUCACUCCAUGCCCCCUCCGCCAGAAAUACACAUUUUUAAAAAAGAUCCCAAUACCCGAAGAAAGGAUGAAGAUGCGGAAGCAGGAUUUUACAGGCCUUUCGAGAUCCCGGAACCGUAAUUAAGGAUCUGUUUCUCGGCAUUUGGUCGUUAAAGGUCCCAAAAUAAGUAAAGGGGAAAUGCUCAAAUGAACGACCUCAAUCUAAACUAGGUUCUACCCGCUCCCCUAUCCCAAAGAGUGAAGAGAAUUGUAAAGCCAGGUUCAAGGACGGGGGAAGGGUCCUCUUGGAAAUUUUAAGAGCAUCUCUACUGUCCAAAACCCCAUAAUUGUGAAGUUCGCCCACCUCCACAUUGGUAAUUCUCCGUUAAAUUAGUCGGUUUAACUCCCAAAGACUAGUUUCUUUCCUCCUGGAGAUUAGGAAAUCAACAGAAUGGCCUGUUUCAGCUUACAUAAUCGUGGAACCAUAGAAUUUUAGGAAUGAAAGAAGCUUUGCGAUCCUUGGUCCCAACUCUUACACUCAGGAGUUCCAAGAAGUUUAGGUGACAUGACCAAGGUUAUACAGUAAAGCCCAUGUCUCCCACCCCAUCUUUCCUCCUUUUCCCUAGGAAACAAAUGGCUUUCUAAUACCUCACAUUCAGAGUUGAUUUUCUUUUAUACCCGUUUCCUCAGGUUCCCUUUGUUCUGAAUCAAUGUCUAACCUUUUGGGAAACAAACACCUUUCUGGAAUGGAAGUGUCCUUUCUUUGUUUCCUUCAUAAUCUUCACUAGCAAGAUUGAAUUUACCAGAGAUGUAUUUAUUCCCAGAAAUUUUCUAUUGCAGUAACUGGGGCAGGGCAAAGGGAGUGGCAAAUUGCUGCAUACAUAAUACACAUUUAAUCCCUGCUGCUCUUCAAACCGGAAGAUGAGUAUUUUGGAUAAUGCCUUUAAGAGACAAAGGAGGCCGGGCGCGGUGGCUCGCACAUGUAAUCCCAGCACUUUGGGAGGCUGAGGCGGGUGGAUCACCUGUGGUCAGGAGUUCAAGACCAGCCUGGCCAACAUAGUGAAACCUGGUCUCUACUAAAAAUGCAAAAAUUAGCUGGGCGUGGUGGCGGGCGCCUGUAAUCCCAGCUACUCGAGAGCUGAGGUAAGAGAAUCGCUUGAAUCGCUUGAGCCACUGCACUCCAACCUGGGCGACAGGGAGAGACUCUGUCUCAAAAAAUAAAAUAAAAGAGAAAGGAUAGUAUGCCCUGAGGCCACUGGAAAUAACACUUUCGAAUGACAGUUGUUUUCAGGUUAGAGAGGAUAACCAGCUGAAAAGGCUUCCAAUAUAGAAGAACAAAACAAUGGCUGCCUUUCAGAGAGAUAGCCUAUGAACCAUUCCUUUUCACUUAGUAUUUCGUUACUUUUUAUUUUUCUUAAGAACAAUAGUCAAAAGAAUCAAAGAGGAUAAAAUCAUUUACUCAACGGAGAAAGCUACAAUAGUAGAAAAAUCUGUCAGGAGGAACAGAGAAACUAUUCCACUAGAACUUCAAAUUUCAGAAUUUUUGCAGACAUUUAAGGAGGCCAUCUCUAAUGGAAGGCUUCCAUUCCCUGUAUUUGCUACAUCCAUGAAGAGAUGGAAAUGAGAGACAAGGAUUUAUUUUCCUUUCUAUCUCCUGCAUGUUGCUACUCACUACACUAUAUAUUCCAGGAGGGGAUUCAUUCAUCUUUUUUUUUUUUUAGAUGAAGUCUCGCUCUAUUGCCAGGGUUCAAGCAAUUCUCCUGCUUCAGCCUCCCGAAUAGCUGAGACUACAGGCAUGCCCCACCAUACCCAGCUAAUUUUUGUACUUUUAGCAGAGACGGGGUUUUACCAUGUUGGCCAGGAUGGUCUCGAUCCCUUGACCUCGUGCUCUGUCCACCUCAGCCUCCCAAAGUGUUGGGAUUACAGGCAUGAGCCACCACGCCCGGCCUCAUCUUUUUUUUUAACCAUUAUAUUGCAAGUGCCUAAUACAGUGCCUGACUUGUGGUAAGACCUUAGUAAAUGUUGCAAAAUAAGUAAAUGAUAUAUUCCAGCCCCCCUUCACUUUAUACCUAUUGUCUCCUAACCUAAUUUCUUUACCUCUAAUCUCUUCCCCUUCAAAUCUUUCUUUUUUUGAGGCACGAUAUCAGCUCCUCUGCCUCCCAGGUUCAGGCGAUUCUCCUGCCUCAGCCUCCCAAGUAGCUGGGACUGCAACUUCCGCCUCCCAGGUUCAGGCGAUUCUCCUGCCUCAGCCUCCCAAGUAGCUGGGACUACAGGCCCGUGCCACCACGCCCAGCUAAUUUUUUGUAUUUGUAGUAGAGAUGGGGUUUCACCAUGUUAGCCAGGAUGGUCUUGAUCUCCUGACCUGACAGAGUCUAAUUUUGUCACCCAGGCUGGAGCACAGUGGUGUGAUCUCCAUUCACCACAGCCUCAACUCCCUGGGCUCAAGGGAUCCAUCCACCUCAGCCUCCCACCUAACUGGGAUUACAGACACGCACCACCACAGCCAGCUAUUUUUUUUUUAUUUUUAGUAUGGAGAUGCGGUUUCAUUAUGUUGGCCAGACUGGUCUGGAACUCCUGGCCUCAAGUGAUCCGCCCACCUCAGCCUCCCAAAAGUGCUGGGAUUUCAGGUGUGAGCCACUGCGCCUGGCUUUCAAAUCUAUUCUGAACACAAACAUCUAGAUAAUCUCCCAAAGCCCCUAAUGUAGCUAUUUUACAAAGUUUGAGGGUUGUUUUUUUUU